UACAGAGGUGCCAAGCGUUAGGCGGAAUCACUGGGCUUAAAGCGCGCGUAGGCGGAUGUUUAAGUGUCUUGUGAAAUCCCACGGCUCAACCGUGGAACUGCUGGGCAUACUGGACAUCUCGAGGCACUCAGGGGCGAGCGGAACAAGUGGUGGAGCGGUGAAAUGCGUAGAUAUCGGGAGGAACACCAGUGGCGAAGGCGACUUCCUGGCCUGUUCUUGACGCUGAGGCGCGAAAGCUAGGGGAGCAAACGGG
rnacentral:rRNA from 1 species